AGCUACUUUUUCAGUUUCUUGUGUCCUAAAAUUAUUCACACCUCCAGCAUCCACAGACACAAAUGUUUUGGGUGCAGACAGCAUCAAAUUUGCACCUUGGUUCUGAUUAGUGGUUUUAAUCGCUUCUUCUGAGCUAAAUUUCUCUGCAACAGAUGAUUGAGCACUUGUGGCAAGAACUUUGUGACCUCUGUCUAUUUCAUGGGGUUGCAGUGCUGAAUCUACUUGGUUGAUUUGCUUCCUAGCACUGGAAGAUUCAACUACCAAAUCUUGUGAUGAUGCCACUUUAUAAGAGUUGUUUUUCUCUUCAAAAUCAGUAGAUUGGGGUGACACUGAAGCAGCAGUAGCACUAGCAAAAUGAAAAAUGGAAAGUCUUCCAUCAUUGGUAAGACAAAGGAGAAGGCAACAUGGUG
rnacentral:misc_RNA from 1 species